GAUGAACGCUAGCGGCAGGCCUAACACAUGCAAGUCGAGGGGUAGAACACUUCGGUGUUUGAGACCGGCGCACGGGUGCGUAACGCGUAUGCAAUCUACCUUGUACAGGGGAAUAGCCCAGAGAAAUUUGGAUUAAUGCCCCAUAGUAUAUAACCUUCGCAUGUUGGUUAUAUUAAAGUUCCAACGGUACAAGAUGAGCAUGCGUCCCAUUAGUUAGUUGGUAAGGUAACGGCUUACCAAGACGAUGAUGGGUAGGGGUCCUGAGAGGGAGAUCCCCCACACUGGUACUGAGACACGGACCAGACUCCUACGGGAGGCAGCAGUGAGGAAUAUUGGUCAAUGGGCGCAAGCCUGAACCAGCCAUGCCGCGUGCAGGAAGACGGUCCUAUGGAUUGUAAACUGCUUUUAUAUAGGAAGAAACAACUCUACGUGUAGAGUCUUGACGGUACUGUAGGAAUAAGGAUCGGCUAACUCCGUGCCAGCAGCCGCAGUAACAC
rnacentral:rRNA from 1 species